UAUCUUUUGGAAAGGUGGGUGUAGGAAAAAGGUAGAAAACCUUAAAAUGUUGUUCGUCCAAACGUGAUUUUUUUUUUCAAUAGUACAAUGGUCAACAACGUCCACACGUCAAAAUCCGAGACCAAGAGAACGCAAUGAAAGAAAAAUCUCCACGCCCAUGACCAUGGUAAAAACUCUGGCAAGCCAUUCAGAGAACCAGUUUGCAUGAUGUGAACGACACCCGUGACCAAACCAUGGACAAAAGACUGUCGUGGUUGCAGGAUGUGAAUAGCACCCGUGAGCCGUGACCAUACCAUCUUCUUCUCUGAGCCGCCCACACCAAAGAGAGAGAGAGAGAGACGUCCCCUUCAUCUCAGCUAAGACGAGCGGCGUCAGGUUGGAAAAAUCUAGAACGACGGUGCAGCGCAGCGUGAGGAUUUCGUCGACUACCCAAAGUUCUCGGCGGUAGAUGUGGCAAUAGGAGAAGCACCCAUGGAUCCCAUCUUCUCCAGAACCAAUAGCCAGAUACCUUCACAUCACCCGUCAAUCGCCGUGGAUCUUGUUGAAGACGAGAACGAUAGCAGACCAGCGAUGCCGCCACGACCAUGCCGGGAAACGAUGGAUGGAUAAGACAGCAGAAGUAAUCACCUUAAUACCGGUAUCUGCAAUUCUGCAUCGUUUUUCAGAAACAGAACUAGCAAUUCUUUCCGGGCACCAAUAGAAGCAUAUCGAAGUGCUAUAGAGCGUGCAAUUGAAGGAGCAUCAAAACUUGGGAAACAGUUGUUUUCGAACCAGCUGUUGGCUUAAUCAAUGAAAUGGCAAGUCUUUUGCCUUGUUUCAAAAAAAAUCCGAGCAGGAGGCGUAUGAGUUCUACAACACAUAUUCAUGAUGGCUUGGAUUCAGCAUCAGGCGGGG